AUAAAUAAAUUUGACUGUGACAUCUGUAAGUCUAUUGAUCAUCAGGGUUGAUUUGCCUUAUCUGGCUGGCUAAGCGUGUGUCCUCAUCUUCCCUUACCAUACAUGUGUGUCUCUCCUGAAGUUGUGCAGUUGCUGGAAGAGGACAUCCAACACAGACAAAGGGACUGUAUUGUUCUUUGAUCAAGGCUAUAUAACAGCCAUCCAUCCCUGAGGAACAUCUACCAGUUGCUGGAACUGUUGCUGGGCCUAGGCAGCCACACCUGGGACUGGAGGGGUGAGGCCAGCAGCCCUUAAGCAACAAAGAGCCAAACUAGAACUGCCUCUU
rnacentral:sRNA from 1 species